rnacentral:rRNA from 1 species
GUACACUCCUGCGGGAGGCAGCAGUGGGGAAUUUUGGACAAUGGGCGAAAGCCUGAUCCAGCAAUGCCGCGUGAGUGAAGAAGGCCUUCGGGUUGUAAAGCUCUUUUGUCAGGGAAGAAACGGUGAAAGCUAAUAUCUUUUGCUAAUGACGGUACCUGAAGAAUAAGCACCGGCUAACUACGUGCCAGCAGCCGCGGUAAUACGUAGGGUGCAAGCGUUAAUCGGAAUUACUGGGCGUAAAGCGUGCGCAGGCGGUUUUGUAAGUCUGAUGUGAAAUCCCCGGGCUCAACCUGGGAAUUGCAUUGGAGACUGCAAGGCUAGAAUCUGGCAGAGGGGGGUAGAAUUCCACGUGUAGCAGUGAAAUGCGUAGAUAUGUGGAGGAACACCGAUGGCGAAGGCAGCCCCCUGGGUCAAGAUUGACGCUCAUGCACGAAAGCGUGGGGAGCAAACAGGAUUAGAUACCCGGGUAGUCCCAUGA